ncrna:unclassified sequences CyVA-1 RNA
CUAACAUCGCAGGGGUUGUACUGCUUGACCUGCUAGUCGAGUUUCGAAGGAGAACGGUGUCAGAAACCCGAAUGGUUU